UCCAGACUCCUACGGGAGGCAGCAGUGGGGAAUAUUGCACAAUGGGGGAAACCCUGAUGCAGCGACGCCGCGUGAGCGAAGAAGUAUUUCGGUAUGUAAAGCUCUCUCAGCAGGGAAGAAAAUGACGGUACCUGAGUAAGAAGCUCCGGCUAAAUACGUGCCAGCAGCCGCGGUAAUACGUAUGGAGCAAGCGUUAUCCGGAUUUACUGGGUGUAAAGGGAGCGCAGGCGGUCUGGCAAGUCUGAUGUGAAAUACCGGGGCUCAACUCCGGGACUGCAUUGGAAACUGUCAGACUGGAGUGUCGGAGAGGCAGGCGGAAUUCCUGGUGUAGCGGUGAAAUGCGUAGAUAUCAGGAGGAACGCCAGUGGCGAAGGCGGCCUGCUGGACGAUGACUGACGCUGAGGCUCGAAAGCGUGGGGAGCAAACAGGAUUAGAUACCCCAGUAA
rnacentral:rRNA from 1 species